rnacentral:rRNA from 1 species
GUGUCAGCAGCCGCGGUAAGACGGAGGGGGCUAGCGUUGUUCGGAAUUACUGGGCGUAAAGCGUGCGUAGGCGGCCUUUCAAGUUGGGUGUGAAAGCCCGGGGCUUAACCCCGGAAAUGCGCCCAAGACUGUUUGGCUAGAGACCGGGAGAGGUGAGUGGAACUCCCAGUGUAGAGGUGAAAUUCGUAGAUAUUGGGAAGAACACCAGUGGCGAAGGCGGCUCACUGGACCGGUACUGACGCUGAGGCACGAAAGCGUGGGGAGCAAACAGGAUUAGAAACCCCGGUAGUCC